rnacentral:rRNA from 1 species
UACGGGGGGGGCAAGCGUUGUUCGGAAUUACUGGGCGUAAAGGGCUCGUAGGCGGCCAACUAAGUCGGAUGUGAAAUCCCCAAGCUUAACUUGGGAACUGCAUCCGAUACUGGAUGGCUUGAAUUCGGGAGAGGGAUGCAGAAUUCCAGGUGUAGCGGUGAAAUGCGUAGAUAUCUGGAGGAAUACCGGUGGCGAAGGCGGCAUCCUGGACCGAGAUUGACGCUGAUGAGCGAAAGCUAGGGGAGCAAACGGG